rnacentral:rRNA from 2 species
UUCCGGAAUUAUUGGGGCGUAAGCGCGCGCAGGCGGUUUCUUAAGUCUGAUGUGAAAGCCCACGGCUCAACCGUGGAGGGUCAUUGGAAACUGGGGAACUUGAGUGCAGAAGAGAAAAGCGGAAUUCCACGUGUAGCGGUGAAAUGCGUAGAGAUGUGGAGGAACACCAGUGGCGAAGGCGGCUUUUUGGUCUGUAACUGACGCUGAGGCGCGAAAGCGUGGGGAGCAAACAGGAUUAGAUACCCUGGUAGUCCACGCCGUAAACGAUGAGUGCUAAGUGUUAGAGGGUUUCCGCCCUUUAGUGCUGCAGCUAACGCAUUAAGCACUCCGCCUGGGGAGUACGGUCGCAAGACUGAAACUCAAAGGAAUUGACGGGGGCCCGCACAAGCGGUGGAGCAUGUGGUUUAAUUCGAAUCAACGCGAAGAACCUUACCAGGUCUUGACAUCGUCUGACAACUCUAGAGAUAGAGCGUUCCCCUUCGGGGGACAGAGUGACAGGUGGUGCAUGGUUGUCGUCACCUCGUGUCGUGAGAUGUUGGGUUAAGUCCCGCAACGCGCGCAACCCUUGAUCUUAUUUG